UUCUUUCCUCGCACAGCCAGGCGGCCUCUGCUCGAGGCCCGCGUCGCCAUGGCCGCGGUUCCCGAGUUACUGCAGCAGCAGGAGGAGGACCGCAGCAAGCUGAGAUCUGUAUCUGUGGACCUGAAUGUUGAUCCCUCACUUCAGAUUGACAUACCUGAUGCACUCAGUGAGAGAGAUAAGGUCAAAUUUACAGUGCACACCAAGACCACAUUGCCUACGUUUCAGAGUCCAGAGUUUUCUGUUACAAGGCAACAUGAAGACUUUGUGUGGCUACACGACACUCUUAUUGAAACAACAGACUAUGCUGGGCUUAUUAUUCCACCCGCGCCUACAAAGCCCGACUUUGAUGGCCCUCGAGAGAAGAUGCAGAAGCUGGGAGAAGGUGAAGGGUCCAUGACGAAAGAAGAAUUUGCCAAGAUGAAGCAAGAACUGGAAGCUGAGUAUCUGGCUGUCUUUAAGAAGACUGUGUCCUCCCAUGAAAUCUUUCUUCAGAGACUUUGUUCUCACCCUGUUCUGAGUAAAGAUCACAACUUUCAUGUUUUCUUGGAAUAUGAUCAGUAUCUAAAUGUUAGGUGGAAACUAAGUGUCAGGCAGAAAAAUACCAAAGAGAUGUUUGGUGGAUUUUUCAAAAGUGUGGUGAAAAGUGCUGAUGAAGUCCUUUUUUCUGGAGUUAAGGAGGUAGAUGACUUCUUUGAGCAAGAGAAGAACUUCCUUAUUAAUUAUUACAAUAGGAUCAAGGAUUCCUGUGCAAAAGCUGACAAGAUGACCAGAUCUCAUAAAAAUGUUGCUGAUGACUAUAUCCACACUGCAGCCUGCUUGCACAGCCUGGCUUUACAAGAGCCCACAGUCAUCAAAAAGUACCUAUUGAAGGUUGCUGAGCUAUUUGAAAAACUUAGGAAAGUGGAGGGUCGAGUCUCUUCAGAUGAAGAUUUAAAGCUGACAGAGCUUCUCCGAUACUACAUGCUCAACAUAGAGGCCGCUAAGGAUCUCUUGUACAGAAGCACCAAGGCCCUGAUUGACUAUGAGAACUCAAACAAAGCUCUGGAUAAGGCCCGGUUAAAAAGCAAAGAUGUCAAGUUGGCUGAGGCACACCAGCAGGAAUGCUGCCAGAAAUUUGAACAGCUUUCUGAGUCUGCAAUAGAAGGUCGAGCCAGGGGCAUUCUUUUGUACUUUUUACAUUUUAUUUGGAAAUGAUUUCAAGCUUAGAGGAAAAGUUGCACAAAAAGUACAAAAACACCCAAGUCUCCUUCACCUAGAGUCAGCAUGUGGCCCCUCUGGUUUAUCACUUGCACAUGCCUGCUGGCCCUCACAGCUCCUGUGUGUGUCCGUAAACCAUUUGAUAUUACAUUGCAUAUAUUAUGAUCCUUUUAUCCCUAAAAAUGUUGUCAUGUAUGUCCUGAGACUAAAGUCAUUCUCUGUCAUCCCUGCCAUAGUUAUCCACUGCAGUAAAUUUAACUUUGAUAUGA